rnacentral:misc_RNA from 1 species
AUCAUCUCCUUCUCGCCUCUUCAUUGUUUGGUCCGAGAACUUUCUCGGCCAAAAUUGGUUGUCCUGUGCUGCGUACCUCUCGAAGGCAUUAUGUUGGUUGAAACUGUCGCUUUUCCUUCGUGUGCCGCCCCCUCGCGGGGAGUCGGUGCGCGUUGGACCUCAAGGCAAUGGCCGUGUGUCCCACCGUCUUCAUCCCGAUGGUUGUUUUCGGUUGCCGAUCCACGGUUGAAACGCUUGUUAUCUUGGGUGUGGAAUAUCUAUUGGGUUCGGGGUUAUCGGCCUCCGUGACCACAUCAAAAAGCGUUCUACGCUCAGUGCGAACGACCGCUGGCACGGUCCCCUGCCGUGCUCCCGCAGCGCGGUUGGAGUCGUGCCGGCGUCGU